CAAUCCGGACAGUAUAAAACAGGACACCAGACCAUAACCAGAGCUUCUUGUUAUGACAGGGGUCCCAUUCACCAUCUGUGGUUGUGCUUUCACAAUCUUCAUUGCUUUGGUAGACCUGUGUCUGCCUAUGUUGAGAGCAGUUGUUCAAGAUGGAUGAGCAAUGAAUAUCAGUGUCGGAAGACAACAGAAACAUUAUACAGUCUGGAUUGUCAAUGAUCUGAAGUCAAGUGACUAUAACACAGAUUGAUGAAAGAUUCUGCAGGACGACAAAGGUUAAAGAUGCAGACCCGGAGCUAGAAGCCAGCACUGACACUGAUGGAGUGGACUGCGAUGAGAAUGCCCACAUUACUGUCCUAUCCUCUGAUAACCAAUGCAAUAUGAAAACUGACUACAGAAGAAAGGAACAAAUUAAAUCCAUUAAUCAAGCAUAUCUCUGCUAAACAGUUGUUCUAAAGUGAUGAACAAAUGAAAAAUUUACUGUUUGUUUUCAUGCUUGCAAGGAUUGGGGAAGAAAAUUAAUUAUAAGGUACUGGCCACACUAUUAGUUAAGUUUUUCUUGAGGAAACUAUUGCUUUGUCAAAGGACAAAUGAACCUCAUUAGGGAGAUUAGUUUCAGUUGGUAGUUUUGCAUUAGGACAAACUAAUAAUACACACUUCAAAAGACACCCUGAGUAAAAUUAUGAAAAUUGAAAUCCAUUUUUUACUUCUUAAUUUACUAACUGUUCAAAAAUGACCACUCUAUUACCUAUCAUGAAAC